rnacentral:lncRNA from 1 species
AUUAUUUCGUAGCUCACUGUAGCUCUUCAAUAUAUAACCUUUAUUAAUCUGGAUUUCCUUCUAUUCCUGGCUUGUUGGUAGAGUUUAAUAUAUCCUUCCUUUCAAAAUCUUCUAAUGCUUUUUUAUGUCAACCAAGAUGCAUAUGAUACUUCUUCCCUAGUAUCUUAUUGUUAAGUAUACAGAUAAAUUUCCAAACUUUAAUGCAUCUUUACAUUAUUAAGGUGAACCCUUCUUACCCAUAUGCAUUCUUAGGGUAUGUCUGUGUGUACACUUGUGUAUUUAACUCCUUCUGAAUUCAUUUUGUUAAUAUCUUAAAUAGAUUCUUACUGUCUAGGCAUAAUCCCUCUUUUUGUCCCUCGAACAACUUGUAUAAAUGAGGCAUGACUUAUUUCUUAAUAGAUUCCUAGAACAUUUUAUUUGUGUGUGUGGUGCUGGGGAUUGAACCCAGGCUCUUGUGCAUGUGAGGCAAACAGUCUACCAACUGAGCUGUAUCCCCAGCCCAGCUUAUGAGAACUUUUACAACUAAAAACUUACUGGACCUAAUGCUUUUAAGGAUAGAGAUUUUGAAUUACCAUUUUAAUUACUUCAGUGAUUAUUUGUCUUUAUUUUCUGUUCUAAUAUUCACAAAUUAACUUUAUUGAGGCUUUCUAAUGAUUUAACAGAGACUUACAAAUCCAUCACAACCUUAUUUUUUUUGUUUCAUUUUAUUUUUUUGAGGGUAGCUGUCCAAUUCAUUUGUGCUCUUGUGUUAGUAAGUUUUACAUCUCUGUAACCAAGAUACCCAACAAGAGUAACUUACGGAAGGAAAAGUUUAUUUUGGCUCAGUUGUAUAGGUUCAGAUCAUGGUGGGUAGAAUGCUUUUCACUGGAUUCCAGGUAAGGCAAGAAAUCAUGGUAGUGGAAGAGAGCUACUCACUCCUGGUGUCCAAGAAGCAGAGAGAGAAGGAAGAUCCAUGGGGACAAGAGAAUUCCCACCACCUUCAGGCCAGGGCCCCAGGCCUCCUACAUACAUGCACCACCAUCCUAGUCAUCACCUAGCACAGUAGUCCCUUCUAAUUAGGAUGGACUGACUAGGUUAUACCUCUUGUCAUCAAAUCAUUUCACCUCCUGCAUCAGUAAAGGAGGUUUUGGGAGCUUUGGAGAGAUAAUUCACACCCAAAAGUAAUUGCUGUCUUAUUUAUUUCAUUCUUACCUACUAUAAUUUGCUCUUUUUCUAGCUUCUGGAAUGCUUAGAUCACUGGUUUGCAGAUUUUUUUUUUUUUUUCUUUUUGUAGUUUUGGUUUUAGUACGAAUUUGUGUUGCAUAAGUUUUGACCUAUAUUGCAGUGUCAUGCAGAGUGGUUUCCCUUCUCUAAAACUUCUUAGUGCUCCCCUUGCACCUGUAGCAACCAUUGAACUUUAUACUGUCUCUUGUUUUGCCUUUUCCAGAAUGUCACAUAGUUGGAAACAUAUGUACCUAUUAAAUAAUAAUUUCUUUUAUUUAGUAACAUGCAUUUAAGUUUCCUCCAUGCCUUUUUAUGCCUUGAUAGAUCCUUUCUUAUUAACACUGAAUGGUAUUUUAUUUAAAUGACAUUUUAUUUAAAUGUUAAUUUAUUUUUUUAAACAAUCCAUCAAACCGUCUUCCAAAGUGGCCAUGGUUGCAGUGAAUGAAAAAGAGUUCCUGGUUGCAGUGAAUGAAAAUUCAUUCUCACCAGUGUUUGACAUUAUCAGUGUUUAGGAUUGGGGGGAGUUUCCUAAUUGUGAUGUGUCUGUUUUUUCAGUUCAUUUGCCUGUUUUUUUUAAGUGGGUUGAUUUCUUAUUCUUGGAUUUUAAAAUUUCUGUGUAUUUUAGAUACCGGUUCUUUAUGAGAUGUCUUUGGCAGAUAUUUUCUCCCAGUCGCUGUGUCAUGUCUUCUCAGUCUUAUUAGUUUUUAACAGAACAGAAAUUUUUUUCAACCAAUCAACUUAGUUCAUGGAUUGUUCUUUGGGUGGGGGUCGUUAUAAGCUAUAUUUUUUGUAUUAUGAUCAGAAAGCACAGGUCAGAAAGAUUUUUUUAUUAAAGUUUCAUUCUAUAUUCUUAUUCAAGGGUAGUUUUUAGAAAUAGUCUGUGUGUAAUUAAUUUAGAAGUUGUUUUAUAAAACCUGUACCUUGGCAUAUCUUUCAUCUGUUUGAUCUACUGAAGGAAAUGGGUGGUUUACAGCCUUUUACUGGAAAAGUUAUCUCUUUUCUCUGGUAUUUUUCUGUUGCUCUGAGUAUUUCAAGGCUGAAUUGCCAUAUGCAUAUGUGUUAAGGGUAACUCUUCUGAACUAUUACAUUUUAUCAGUAUACUGUAUACUUUUCCAUGUGGUUUUUGCUUUAAAUUUUAUUUAAGUGGGACAAAGAACUACUCCUAGGUGUUUUUAUUUCUAUUUGUAUCAUAAAAACUUAUUGUGAGUAGAGUGGUUUUUUUCUCAUUUUAGUUUCAACCUUAUUACACUUUAUUCAAAGAUUUUUAUUUAUUUAUAAUUAUUAACAUAAUAAGAUUCCUUUAUUAAUUACAGUAGCUUAAGUAGAUUUCAAUUAAAUUUUUUUUUAAAGAAAGAGAGAGAAGGAGAGAGAGAGAAUUUUAAUAUUUAUUUUUUAGUUAUUGGCGGACACAACAUCUUUGUUUGUAUGUGGUGCUGAGGAUCGAACCCAGGCCUCACGCAUGCCAGGCGAGCGCGCUACUGCUUGAGCCACAUCCCCAGCCCAUCAAUUAAAUUUUAUAUGAACACAUCCACACACUCUUAAGUCAGGAGAAGUUCCUCUCCUUCCUAAUUGCCAUGCUAAAAUAAUAGUAAUUUGCAGAUGAGGAUUUUAAUGGAAGUGGCUUUAGUGUAAUAUUUGUUUUUAAUAAAUUGCCUUUAUCUCUUAAAAUUUAUUUGAUCAUUUUAUUAUUACUAUUACUUGAUAACUCAGUUUGCAGUGUGUGAUUUUAUUGCACCAAGAGUAUUUUAG